GACGAACGCUGGCGGCGUGCUUAACACAUGCAAGUCGAACGGAAAGGCCUGCUUUCCCUUGUGGAUUGCGGGUACUCGAGUGGCGAACGGGUGAGUAACACGUGAGUGGUCUGCCCCCAACUUGGGUAUAAGCCUGGGAAACUGGGUCUAAUUCCCGAUAGGACUGCAGGGUGGUGCCUGUGGUGGAAAACGAUUUUCUAGUGGUUGGGGAUGAGCUCGCGGCCUAUCAGCUUGUUGGUGGGGUAAUGGCCUACCAAGGCGGCGACGGGUAGCCGGCCUGAGAGGGUGGACGGCCACAUUGGGACUGAGAUACGGCCCAGACUCCUACGGGAGGCAGCAGUGGGGAAUAGUGCACAAUGGGCGGAAGCCUGAUGCAGCGACGCCGCGUGGGGGAUGACGGCCUUCGGGUUGUAAACUCCUUUCGACCGCGAGGAAGCCACCUGGUUGGAAGGGUGGUGACGGUAGUGGUAGAAGAAGCACCGGCUAACUACGUG
rnacentral:rRNA from 1 species